GACGAACGCUGGCGGCGUGCUUAACACAUGCAAGUCGAGCGAUGAAGCACCUUCGGGUGUGAAUUAGCGGCGAACGGGUGAGGAACACGUGAGAAAUCUGCCUUCAACUCUGGGAUAACUCCGUGAAAACGGGGCUAAUACCGGAUAUGAAACCUGCGGGCAUCCGCGGGUUUGGAAAGUUUUUCGGUUGAAGAUGAUCUCGCGGCCUAUCAGCUUGUUGGUGAGGUAAUGGCUCACCAAGGCGACGACGGGUAGCCGGCCUGGGAGGGCGACCGGCCAAACUGGGACUGAGACACGGCCCAGACUCCUACGGGAGGCAGCAGUGGGGAAUAUUGGGCAAUGGAGGAAACUCUGACCCAGCGACGCCGCGUGCGGGAUGAAGGCCUUCGGGUUGUAAACCGCUUUCAGCAGGGAAGAAGCGAAAGUGACGGUACCUGCAGAAGAAGCACCGGCUAACUAUGUGCCAGCAGCCGCCGUAA
rnacentral:rRNA from 1 species